UACGGGGGGGGGCAAGCGUUGUUCGGAAUUACGUGGCGUAAAGGGCGCGUAGGCGGCCUGCUAAGUCGGACGUGAAAUCCCUCGGCUCAACCGGGGAACUGCGUCCGAUACUGGUGGGCUCGAAUCCGGGAGAGGGAUGUGGAAUUCCAGGUGUAGCGGUGAAAUGCGUAGAUAUCUGGAGGAACACCGGUGGCGAAGGCGGCAUCCUGGACCGGUAUUGACGCUGAUGCGCGAAAGCCAGGGGAGCAAACGGG
rnacentral:rRNA from 1 species